GUGGAGUAUUUAGUACACAGGAAGUCGGCCAGAGAAACAUUUCUCAUAUUUGAAGGCCGGGAAGAGGGACAUUUCUGACACCGGAAGUCAGUGAGAGGGCUCUUUCCCACACAGGAAGUCAGCUACAGAGCCCUCUCCCCUCUCUAGAGCUGAGAGACGCCGGUUUCCCCCGCCGUAGCCCACCUGGGAGGAAUUUUCCUGAGAUCACUGUCUGAUGACCCUGUCUUGGAAUUGGAGCCAUCCAAGUUACACUGACCAUAUUUGGGUUGGGAUAUUGAGGAGGUUAUGGUUAAAAGCAUACGAUGGGAGAUGAUAUUGUACUUGCGAGUGAGACCUGGCUGGAGGAAUGUUUUAAUUCUUUGGAAAUACCAACUGGUCUCUAGAUGGGUUUUCACUAUUUUUCCCAGGCUAGUCUCCAACUUCUGGGCUCAAGCGAUCCACCUGCCUCGGCCUCCUAAGUCCUAGGGUUAUAGGUCUCACAUGCGUGCUUCACAAUGGGGAAACUGAACUGGAACUCCACUGACAAUGCAGUUUGGAGUUCAAACUUAAUAACCUUCCAGAGUUGGUAUCAAAUUCAGACGCUGACGCUCC
rnacentral:lncRNA from 1 species